rnacentral:rRNA from 1 species
UGGGGAAUUUUGGACAAUGGGCGAAAGCCUGAUCCAGCAAUGCCGCGUGUGUGAAGAAGGCCUUCGGGUUGUAAAGCACUUUUGUCCGGAAAGAAAUCCUUGGCUCUAAUACAGUCGGGGGAUGACGGUACCGGAAGAAUAAGCACCGGCUAACUACGUGCCAGCAGCCGCGGUAAUACGUAGGGUGCAAGCGUUAAUCGGAAUUACUGGGCGUAAAGCGUGCGCAGGCGGUUUGCUAAGACCGAUGUGAAAUCCCCGGGUCUCAACCUGGGAACUGCAUUGGUGACUGGCAGGCUAGAGUAUGGCAGAGGGGGGUAGAAUUCCACGUGUAGCAGUGAAAUGCGUAGAGAUGUGGAGGAAUACCGAUGGCGAAGGCAGCCCCCUGGGCCAAUACUGACGCUCAUGCACGAAAGCGUGGGGAGCAAACAGGAUUAGAUACCCUGGUAGUCCACGCCCUAAACGAUGUCAACUAGUUGUUGGGGAUUCAUUUCCUUAGUAACGUAGCUAACGCGUGAAGUUGACCGCCUGGGGAGUACGGUCG